UGGGUAACCUGCCUCAAAGAGGGGAAUAGCCUCCCGAAAGGGAGAUUAAUACCGCAUAAUAUGUUUAAGUCGCAUGACUUUAACAUCAAAGGAUUUUUCUUUUUAAGAAAUUCCACUUUGAGAUGGACCCGCGGCGCAUUAGCUAGUUGGUGAGGUAACGGCUCACCAAGGCAACGAUGCAUAGCCGACCUGAGAGGGUGAUCGGCCACAUUGGAACUGAGACACGGUCCAGACCUCUACGGGAG
rnacentral:rRNA from 1 species